CAAAAGCUUGGUCCUGACUUUAUUAUCAACUACAACUAAACUUACACAUGCAAGUAUCCGCGCCCCUGUGAGAAUGCCCUACAGUCUCCCUUAGUACGGAAACAAGGAGCUGGUAUCAGGCACAUAGAAAUAUAGCCCAUAACACCUUGCUUAGCCACACCCACAAGGGAACUCAGCAGUGAUAAAUAUUAAGCCAUAAGUGAAAACUUGACUUAGUUAAAGUAAAAAGAGCCGGUAAAACUCGUGCCAGCCACCGCGGUUAUACGAGGGGCUCAGGUUGAUAAUUCACGGCGUAAAGGGUGGUUAAAAUAUUACUAAACUAAGGUCGAAAAUUUUCACAGCUGUUAUACGCAUUUGAAAAUAAAAAGCACAACUACGAAAGUGGCCUUAUAUUAUUGAACCCACGAAAGCCAAGACACAAACUGGGAUUAGAUACCCCACUAUGCUUGGCCCUAAACAUUGAUAGACUACUACACUCACUAUUCGCCAGGGUACUACGAGCAUCAGCUUAAAACCCAAAGGACUUGGCGGUGCUUAAGAUCCACCUAGAGGAGCCUGUUCUAGAACCGAUAACCCCCGUUCAACCUCACCCUCUCUUGUUUUUCCCGCCUAUAUACCGCCGUCGUCAGCUUACCCUGUGAAGGAAAAACAGUAAGCAAAAAUGGCAAAGCCCAAAACGUCAGGUCGAGGUGUAGCGUAUGAGAGGGGAAGAAAUGGGCUACAUUCUCUAAACUAGAGAAUACGGAUAAUACACUGAAAUGUGUAUUUAAAGGAGGAUUUAGCAGUAAGCGGAAAAUAGAGAGUUCAGCUGAAACCGGCCCUAAAGCGCGCACACACCGCCCGUCACUCUCCCCAAGCUCUUAAUUUAAAAUAAUUAAAACACUACAAAUGCAAAGGGGAGGCAAGUCGUAACAUGGUAAGUGUACCGGAAGGUGUACUUGGAAAAAU
rnacentral:ncRNA from 2 species